rnacentral:lncRNA from 1 species
AUUAUUUUAUUAUUAGUUUUGUUAAUGUUUUCUUCGAUAGUGAAAAAUUCAAAAAAAAAAAAAAAUUUAACGGAGAGUUAACAGAGGUGCUGACGAAAAAAAAAAAACUACAAAAUACUAAAAUUAUAUACUUUCAACUAUAGAAUACUAAAGUGAGAAAAAGCUAAACUACAUAGGGAUAUUAGAAGUUUUUUCUAAAAAAUAUUUUUAUUACAUAGAGUUAAUUUUUUUUACUGAGAAUACAAGUUUAUGGUAAAAAUCUAAUUUUAUGCUUUCUUUGCAGAAUUCCAACAGUGAAUACUGGAUCAAUAAUAGUCGGUAUCAGAACGGAUUGCAGAUUC